rnacentral:lncRNA from 1 species
AAAAAAACGCGCCCUAAAUCGCCAAUCGCAGCGCCUAGGCGCUGGCUAUAGCGCCUGGGCGCUGUGUCUUCAGCGCCUAGGCGCUGGUGGUAGCGCCUGGGCGCUAUGGUUGUAGCACCUAGGCGCUGCCUCUCGGGUCCAAUUUUCAUCUUUUCUUCGUUUCGUAGCGCCUAGGCGCUAUAAGUGCAGCGCCUAAGUGCCAUCUUUCUGCUCCAAUUCCGUGUUUUUGGCCUCUUCAUCCACUUUAAUACUUAUUUUCUCAUUGCUUCUCCUUAUCUUCAACACAACACUAACAAACACAUCAAAAACGUUCUACACUCAUAAAAUCUAGUAUUUAAUGAAGCUAAAAUUGUGCGAAAACCAUGAGUGAAACAAACUCAUCAAAUACCCCCAAACUAAACCAUUUGCUAGUUCUCGAGCAAACACUAAAACCCAUAAGAAUAAUUAACGGACACACAAGCACAAUCAAGACAAACAAAAUCACUAAAAAUAAAUUUCGCUAGAUAACUUGCCUUCAUGUCUUAGAAUUAAAAACAUAACUUCGAUUCCAUGAACCACUUCAAAGCUAUAAUGCAAAAGUUAAAUUCUCACUUAUUCUAUGCAAAACGGGUGUGUGUGUGGAGAGUCAAGUGCAACGCUAUACAAUAAUAAGUUGACCCAAUCCCAACCUUAGAAGUCAAAUUUUUCCUUACCUUGCUCGUGGGAUUCACACACCCCCAAACUUAUUUUCUUUUCUCUUUCCAAGGGUGUAACCUAAGGUUAAAUUUUCAAUACUAAUUUCUUACACCGCUCAAGUUUGGUUAGAUUUUACUGAUUGUAGUUCCACAUGUCAACAAAUGAGGAUUCUCCUUUUUUUUUUGAUUGCUUCAACCUCUAGGAAUCAACCAAAUUACUAACCCCUUAUCAAAGGUCUAAUCCUCUAAAACAAGUGUUCGGGGCUUAAUCAACUUCUUUUUUUUAUUCUUUUUUUAUUACUUUUUUUUAUAGAUGUCUUUAUUCUUUAAUCACUCUUUGUGCGAACGUCUCUCCCUUAAGCUUUCUAAAUGACCCCUGUAGCGAGCUUUAGGCCGAUGACUCCCAAAUCAGAUGACUUUAGGGCACCAGGUUUUAAACCCUUACAGGCUUAAUCACUCAAGUCAUAAAGGUUACGAAGAGACGAUUUACAAUGAGAUUAUUAAAGUUGUCCUCAUUGGGAUCUUUUUUUUUUUUUUUGCGGUGAUUAGUGCAAUGCCCCUUAUUAAACACCUAUCCUAGAAAAUCGACCUCUAACUUAAGGUUUUCACCCAAUUUUCAUCCCAUUAGUCUCAGACAGUCCACACAAACAUUAACACACACGAAAUCCACAUUUAUCUUCAAGUUUUCCUACAACAGUGCAAUCAUCCAAACAUCCUAAAUUUGGUUUAAGGGUAUUGUGAUAUUUAAUGGUUUUUGGGUUUAGCAUCUAAGUUCUCUAGUUCAACCUAUAAGCGUGAAUCAACCUCCUCAUGUACAAUGCUACAAUCAACUCACGUGAAAAAAAAUAAUUUCCAUUUCACAUGAAUAAGCAAAAAUCUAACUCAAAUACAUAACUCAUCCACAAUUCAUAAAUCAACGCAUGUUUUCAAUUGCACAUAUCAAUACCGACAAUGUUAUCUAACACACACAAGCAUGCAAAAACACGAAAUGAAUUUUUUUUUAUAAUAAAAACACAAACACAUAAAAUAAGCAAAUCACACAUAAGCAUUCGAGAAACUCAACAAUAUGCAAAUGAUGUCACUCCCCCAAACUUAACUGAAACAUUGUCCUCAAUGUGAAAUUUAAAGGAAAAGGAGGAGGACUUUCCUGAAAUGUCAGUAUUGCCUAUGAUGUUGUGGUGUCUUGGUGUUGUAUUUGAUUGACUCUUCUUCUACAUUUUCCCCCAAACUUGAGUUUUGUCCCAUUUUCUCCAUGUCCAUGUUGGUUUGAGUGUUCCGCGACGUCAUGUUUCUGAAAAAUUAAAUUUGAAAAAUUAAACUCAUGGAAUAAGGAUUACUUAGCUCAAACAUCUAAUAACCAACUUAAUUACUCCAAUACCUAUGGGUAGAAGGUGUAUGAGUGAUGAUUCCUAAUAAACUAUAAAUUAAACUAUCUUAGAACUUUGAAAAAAAAUAAAUAAAAGCUUGGGUUGCCUCCCAAGAAGCGCUUCUUUUAAGUCAUUAUCUUGACUUGUGCCGCUGGUUUAUCAUGGUGGCUCAAACUAAGUUAUUUCAUCAUUACACUCUGUGCAAUUUUCAUUGAUGCAGUCCUUUUUUGCUCUCCAAAUUUUGAUUUGUCCAUUCUUAUCUCUACCAAGAAGUUCUCCAAAAUUUGUUGUUUUAUUCUGACAGCUUCGUUGAUCAGCUGGCUCUUCUUCAUCAAUUCUAUAGCAAUCAUUUUUAUUGGGAGGUUUCUCAUAUUGGAUGUAAAUAUUGAAUAUCUCCUGCUUGUCCUCCACCCUCAAGAUUAGUUCUCCCUUCUCCAUGUCAAUAAGGGUUCGUCCCAUUGCUAAGAAUGGUCGACCCAAUAUAAUUGGAAUGUCUCGAUCUUCUGGUAUGUCCAAUACAAUGGAAUCUACAGGAAAUAUUAAAUUUCCUGCUUUGACGAGUACAUCCUCAACUUUGCCACGUAGCCUUGUGAUUGUUCUAUCAACGAGUUGUAGCGUUAUUGAUGUUGAGUUGACUUCACCUAGUCCCAAUUUCCUGUAAGUAGAAUACGACAUUAGAUUGAUACUAGCACCAGUGUCACACAAUGCAUUAGUUGAAUAGGAAUUUACAAUUGAAACUGGUAAAGUAAAACUCCUUGGAUCUUUCAAUUUAGGAGGCAAUUUUCUCUGGACUCUUGCACUACUUUCCUCAGUUAAUGCCACAGUUUCAAACUCCGGAAGUUUUCUUUUCUUUGUCAACGUCUCUCUCAAAAAUUUCUUAUAGCUUGGAGUUUGUAGUAUCGCAUCUAUGAACGGAACAUUGAUCUGGAGCUUCUUGAGAACAUCGAGGAAUUUUUCAUAGUUUGUGUCUUGUUUGUUCUUCUUGAGCUUUUAAGGAAAGGGAAUGAGAGGCAUGUAAGCUUUGUCUAGACUUGGUGUUUUGGCAACUGAUGUUUCUGUACCUCCUCUAUUUUCAGUUGCAUUUGGUGCAGAUUUUUCUACCCUUGUAGUUUCAGCAAUCACUUCUUGGUCAUCUUUUCUUUCGGGUCUCUCUAUAGUGAUCUCUGGUGAUUGUACCUCACUCUUUGUAUUUAUGACAUGAAUAUUUUGCUCCAUCGACUUCUUUCGAAGUCUUUGGGGAAACGGAAGUGGAGGUACAUAUGCUUUAACUUUUACGGGGGCCCUGGGUGGAUCAUUCUGGACUACUUCAAUUGACAUCAACUGUUCCUUAGGAUUUAUCAUUGUAUUGCCUGGCAAUGUCCCUUGUGGACGUUCUGCAAGUUGUUGUGCUAUCUGACCAAUUUGUGUCUCCAGUUUUUUGAUGGAUGCCUGCUGAUUUUGAAAGUUCGUGUCAAUUUGUUGGAACACCUUGUCCGUCUUCUGCACAUAUUGUUGAAACAUCUCCCCCAAACUUGGUCUUCUUUCUUGUUGGAAAUUGUUACCAUAUGAGUUGAAAUUACGGGAGCUAUUUUGAAUAAAGUUUACUUGUUCCUCUGAAGAAGUGAGCAUCAUGCAGCUCUCUGUAGUGUGAUUUCUCCCACAAUUCUCACAUGCUGAACUUACCAUCAUUGCAUUUGCUCCAUGUGUUUGCAAUUUUACAAGUAACUCUACCUGUUUUGUUAAAGCUGCUAUCUAUGCGCUGGUAGAUGUUGUGCUGUCUAAUUCAUACAUUCCUCCUGCCUUUGGUGGUACCACUCUUUCUGAUGAGAACAUUGAAUGUGUGGUGGCAAUUAACUCAAAUAGGUCCAUGGUUUGUUGCACUGAUUUCCCUAUGAUUGAUCCACCAGCAGAGGCAUCAACUUGAGAUUUUGACAAUGGUGUAAGUCCAAUGUAGAAGUACUGCACUUGGUUUCCUUGAGUGAUUCCAUGGUUUGGACAUUUUCUCAUCAGCUCAUUAAAUCUAUUCCAUGCCUCGUGAUAGCUUUCUCCCUCUUUCUGUUGAAAAGUCUGAAUUUCCAAUCUGAUUUUAGCUACUCUGGCUGGUGGGAAGAAUUUGUUGCAAAAUUUUCUGAUAAGUUCUUCCCAUGUAGUAAUGCUGGCAUGAGGUUCCGCAUCUAACCACUCCAAUGCAGCAUCUCUCAAUGUAAAUGGAAAUAGUCGUAGUUUAAUAGCAUCUUCAUUGACCCCCGGAGUAUGGAAGUUCUGACAAUUUCUGAGAAAUCUGGAGAUAUGUGUGUUUGGAUUCUCUUGAGGUAGCCCGUAGAAUUGCAGGGUGUUGCUCAUCAAGUUAAUCCAAUCUGGCCUGAUCUGAAAGUUAUUCACCCCAAAAUCUGGAUACACGAUACUGGAGCGCAUGGGUGCUGCUAUAGGUGUCAGGAACAUUGAUACUGGCAAAUCCCCUUCAUUUAUUUCCCUUCGUUCAUGUUGUUGUUCCGGUGGUGCCACCACUCUUGCGGCCAUUUGCCCAAUCGGCUGAAUAGGGAUAUGGAUUUGUUGAUUGUCAGCCAUUUGAUGUUGCUGUUUUUGUUUGUGUUCCUUGCGUUUUCGUCUGAAGGUACGUUCUAUCUCCGAAUCAAACGGUUCAAGAUCGUCGCCUUGGGCACGGAGCAUACAACGAAAACACUUUUCUGUAAAUAAAAGAAAAAUAAACUAAUCAAAUAACAGCCAAAAGAAAAAAAAUAAAUUAAGACUAAAAGAAAUAGUCCCGGCAACGGCGCCAAAAACUUGUUGUAAAAUUUUGUUUCGCAAGUGUACGAUCCGUAACAAGUAAUAGUGGACCUAAGAGUCCGGUUAUCGAUCCCACAAGGACUAUUUUGUAGCACUUAAUUUAAUCUUUCUUUAACUACUAUUUGACGAAUGUAAAUAAAAAAACAAUGAUUAAAUGUGAUUUUUAUUCUAAAGACUAAAAAAUGUGAUUGGAUUCAAUGAAAAGUGAUUGAAAAUUCAAACAAUAAAUGGACGUUAGGGCGGAACAAUUUCACCUAUUGGUCACCUUUACUUCAUAAAUCAAGAUUCAUAAAACCUAAGGUAGUGUUCGGUCGAAUUCUUCUAUUGUAUUCAACUUACCCCUCUCGAGUUCUCAUUGAGCCUACUUAAUUAGUUUAAUUCCAUAUCUCUAUGUAAAUUAAAUUUAAUUAAACGAAACAUUGGUUCUAAGAAUUCACACCCGACCGCAGCAAUCAAUAUAGGUAUCUCUACACAUUAUAUCAAUUUACCGGAUUUUAACAUGUGGUCUAAACAAAUAAUCCGCAUCUCUACGCAAUCAAUGUUCACAAAUCAUCUAAUUAGUGAUCAAGUAAUUAAAUGUAUUAAAAACAAUAUUAAAAUCAACACAUGAAAUAAAAAAGUACUAGAAUCUCAAUUGCAUGAAAUAAAGGGUUCCAAAAGAUUACAUUGUUCGCCCUAACAUGAAAUUUAACUACUCAUAAUAAUGGAAGAAAAAUAGGAGAUUGUCUUAGAAUACAUCACCGAGUUUGAAAUAAAGAUGUGGAAGAAAAAAUGGAAUUCUUGCACCAAGAUCUCCUUCCUCUUCCAAUGAGUGCUUCCAAUCUUCAAUUCUUGGUAUUAAUCUUCUUAAAUUUCUCCCUUGAAUCUCCCUUCUUGUUGUUUUUCUCUCCAAUAUGUCAAGAACCCUUCAAAAGUAUGAGGAGGAUGUAUUUAUAGGUGCCUCCACGUUUUUAUGUUGAAGUAGGGUUUCUAUAGCUUUAAAAACGGCCCAAAAAAACGCGCCCUAAAUCGCCAAUCGCAGCGCCUAGGCGCUGGCUAUAGCGCCUGGGCACCGUGUCUUCAGCGCCUAGGCGCUGGCUAUAGCACCUGGGCGCCGUGUCUUCAGCGUCGAGGCGCUGGUGGUAGCGCCUGGGCGCUAUGGUUGUAGCGCCUAGGCGCUGCCUCUCGGGUCCAAUUUUCAUCUUUUCUUCGUUUUGUAGCGCCUAGGCGCUAUAAGUGUAGCGCCUAAGCGCCAUCUUUCUGCCCCAAUUCCGUGUUUUUGGCCUCUUCAUCCACUUUAAUACUUCUUUUCUCAUUGCUUCUCCUUAUCUUCAAAACAACACUAACAAACACAUCAAAAACGUUCUACACUCAUAAAAUCUAGUAUUUAAUCCAGCUAAAAUUGUGCGAAAACCAUGAGUGAAACAAACUCAUCAAGCACUAUCAACGAGCUCGACCUGAUCUUUCAAUAUAUUUUUGUGCUUCGAAUCCCAAAAGUCAGUCUUAGUGAAUGUCCACCCCAUUGACCCCCUCUAUCAGGUUUGAACAAGUAGCAAUGCAAACAAUAAGCCGCAUCAUUUUCUAUACUGUACUCCAACCAAUAAAAUUUAGAAGACCAUUCUUUCCGAAAACAUCUAUAAUUAUUUCCUAUCUGUCUUUUUAGAAUCAUUGACAAUGACCUUUUUCCAAGUAUGUCAUCCUAACAUCAUCUCUGAUAUUAUGAUCAUAUGACUCGAUAGGGAGGCGUUUUCCCGGAUCAUGACAUAAGAUCAUCCACAUUGAAUUGAGCCCGAUACUUCUUUAUGUUAUUUAACAACUCGUGUGCUUAGCUAGAAAAAGUGGCGGGACUAGAAGCACAACUAGAACUAGGUAGAGACUUUUGUUUCGGUUGAAAAAAUCGUUCCAUAAUCUGCAAAAUGCCCCAAUUUAAUUUUCAAUUACAAUUGAUUAAAAAAUCAACAAUUCAAC